GACGAACGCUGGCGGCGUGCUUAACACAUGCAAGUCGAACGGAAAGGCCCUGCUUUUGUGGGGUGCUCGAGUGGCGAACGGGUGAGUAACACGUGAGUAACCUGCCCUUGACUUUGGGAUAACUUCAGGAAACUGGGGCUAAUAUCGGAUAGGAGCUCCUGCUGCAUGGUGGGGGUUGGAAAGUUUCGGCGGUUGGGGAUGGACUCGCGGCUUAUCAGCCUGUUGGUGGGGUAGUGGCUUACCAAGGCUUUGACGGGUAGCCGGCCUGAGAGGGUGACCGGCCACAUUGGGACUGAGAUACGGCCCAGACUCCUACGGGAGGCAGCAGUGGGGAAUAUUACACAAUGGGCGGAAGCCUGAUGCAGCAACGCCGCGUGCGGGAUGACGGCCUGCGGGUUGUAAACCGCUUUCGCCUGUGACGAAGCGUGAGUGACGGUAAUGGGUAAAGAAGCACCGGCUAACUACGUG
rnacentral:rRNA from 1 species